GACGGAGGGUGCAAGCGUUGUUCGGAAUUACUGGGCGUAAAGCGCGGGCAGGUGGCCUUUUAAGUCCUUUGUGAAAUUCCGGAGCUCAACUCCGGAUGUGCAUAGGAUACUGGAAGGCUAGAGACUGGUAGAGGCGAGCGGAAUUCCUGGUGUAGCGGUGGAAUGCGUAGAUAUCAGGAGGAACACCUAUUGCGAAGGCAGCUCGCUGGGACGUAACUGACGCUGAGACGCGAAAGCGUGGGGAGCAAACAGG
rnacentral:rRNA from 1 species